rnacentral:rRNA from 1 species
UCUAGGCCACACCACCCUGAACGCGCCCGAUCUCGUCUGAUCUCAGAAGCUAAGCAGGGUCGGGCCUGGUUAGUACUUGGAUGGGAAACUGUUCAAAAUGUCCAGGAUAGAA